rnacentral:rRNA from 1 species
AGUAAUGGCAGGUCAGCAUACUGCCGUGAAUACGUUCCCGGGCCUUGUACACACCGCCCGUCACACCAUGAGAGUUGGGAUACCCGAAGCCUGUGAGCCAACUUUUAAGAGGCAGCAGUCGAAGGUAGAAUCAAUGAUUGGGGUGAAGUCGUAACAAGGUACC